AUUGAACGCUGGCGGAAUGCUUUACACAUGCAAGUCGAGCGGCAGCGCGGGGGCAACCCUGGCGGCGAGCGGCGAACGGGUGAGUAAUACAUCGGAACGUGUCCUUAAGUGGGGGAUAGCUCGGCGAAAGCCGGAUUAAUACCGCAUAAGCUCUGAGGAGGAAAGCGGGGGCUCCGUAAGGACCUCGCGCUGUUGGAGCGGCCGAUGUCGGAUUAGCUAGUUGGUGGGGUAAAGGCCCACCAAGGCGACGAUCCGUAGCUGGUCUGAGAGGAUGAUCAGCCACACUGGAACUGAGACACGGUCCAGACUCCUACGGGAGGCAGCAGUGGGGAAUUUUGGACAAUGGGGGCAACCCUGAUCCAGCCAUUCCGCGUGAGUGAAGAAGGCCUGGU
rnacentral:rRNA from 1 species